CACGUAGGGCGCAAGCGUUGUCCGGAAUUAUUGGGCGUAAAGCGUGCGCAGGCGGUUCGUUGUGUCGGUGGUGAAAUCCCCGGGCUUAACCUGGGAAUGGCCAUGGAAACUGGCGAACUGGAGUGCGGCAGAGGGGGGUGGAAUUCCUGGUGUAGCAGUGAAAUGCGUAGAUAUCAGGAGGAACACCGAUGGCGAAGGCAGGUCUCUGGGCUGACACUGACGCUCAUGCACGAAAGCGUGGGGAGCAAACAGG
rnacentral:rRNA from 1 species